CGGCGCUCGCCGUAUGCUUCGAGGUAUUUCGCCUCCGAGUCUAGAGUUUAUUGGAGCUAUUUGGUCUUGCAGUGAGAGAGGUAAGGAAGGUGGGAACACCACUAUCCUGGUGGACCUUCCGGCUGUAUGGAGGCGUCGAUGGUGCCGGAGGAAGUGAAGAUGCUGAUGACUCUGGUAUGUAACGGAAUGGUGCAGGCCAUGGGAACUGGGGAAUGACAACUGGUGAAAAGAGGGGAUUGAUGAUGCUGUUGAUAAAGUCUGUUGCAACUGCGAAACAGGCGGAUGGAGAUGAAGUGCCAUAUUCUGAGGAGAACAAAGAUAGCGAGGAUGGUGUUUGGUGAACUCGACGCAGAGAAGACGAUUUGGGUUCAUACAAGGACACAAGAAGAGGGGGGGGAAAAACUGCUGAUCAGGAUCGAUGGAGCAAUAAGGAGUCUGGUCUGCGGUCAGGUAUCCGAUCAAACACCUGGCGAGCAUCCCCCACGGGAGAGCAUCUCCGGCAGCUUAUUCUUGGUCCUGAAGUCUGGCAUGGGAAAGAUCAAGUCAUGUGGAAAUGAGUUGAAGCACCCAAAUCUCUGCUAUUGCUCUGUUGGCCAAAGAGAAGCAAAUUGCAAGGAAUUCGUUCUUCGAGCGGCGGAGACACGAAUCUGCUGCUUUCGCAACAUUUCAGGUAUAUCUCGCUUUGAGAAAGCACUUGUGAGGAUUCGGCAGUGCAACACCAUAUCAUCGAUUAGAUUUAGAUUCUUUGUACGCACACGAGGCUGAGGGCGAAGCACACUGCCGCUAUUGGCUAUCCACUCACGACUAGAUAUCGAUGGAACAAUCCGCACCAAAAAGAUAUGAUUUGGUGUCAAUGAAGACUUGGAAGCUUGCACCUCAUGCAACUGAGCUGGAUCCAUUUUGUUCGACAACUCGAGUGUCAAACAAUGCUGCCUCUCACAUGGUUGUUCAUAAUGAUCCAUCUACCAUCAGAAGGCACAAGGAAAACACAAGUGAAGGAUUGGAAACAGAGGGGUCCCCCUGUCCUCUCCAUGUUUCUUUCUUUAAUGCAGUGGGACACAACCGGGCAUCCCCUCUCUGCCAACAUCUCUCUUCCAAGCUUAGCAUGACAGGUGUGAUGGGUAAAGCAGCAAAGUCACCAACACGUCUCCAAAGGCUACAGGCUUUGAGCUGCUUUGUCUACUUUUAUCUUCUUCCCCCUCCGGCUUUCUUUUUUUUCCCUUUUUACUGUGAGAAGUUGGGAGGUAAGCAUAGUUUGCAGCUCUGCUUGUCGUAACAAUUGAAGCAUCAUUUCAGCAGAGGAAUGAAAGCAAGCACAGAUGACAUGAGGUAGUAGUAGUAGCUGGCCAUCAUUUGCAGCGACUCUGUUGGCAUUAUGUAUCAGAGGCCAAAGAAGAAUUGGCAAGUGAUUCAGUGUUUCAGUGAGUACAUUGGUCAAAAUAAGGCCGGGGAAGUAGUGUCACAUGAUUCCAGCGGGGGGCACCUACAUGCUUUGUCCCUACUUCACUUGGUAGAGCGAGGAUGAACAGGACUUGGAACAGUGGUGAGAUCUAUCUGCAGGUUUUUACAGUGAGGUUGACAAUUUUUACACCAAUAGACUUGGAAGUUCAUAGAAA